UGCAAGUCGAACGAAACUUCUUUUAUCACCGAGUGCUUGCACUCACCGAUAAAGAGUUGAGUGGCGAACGGGUGAGUAACACGUGGGCAACCUGCCCAAAAGAGGGGGAUAACACUUGGAAACAGGUGCUAAUACCGCAUAACCAUAGUUACCGCAUGGUAACUAUGUAAAAGGUGGCUAUGCUACCGCUUUUGGAUGGGCCCGCGGCGCAUUAGCUAGUUGGUGAGGUAAAGGCUUACCAAGGCAAUGAUGCGUAGCCGAACUGAGAGGUUGAUCGGCCACAUUGGGACUGAGACACGGCCCAAACUCCUACGGGAGGCAGCAGUAGGGAAUCUUCCACAAUGGGCGAAAGCCUGAUGGAGCAACGCCGCGUGGGUGAAGAAGGUCUUCGGAUCGUAAAACCCUGUUGUUAGAGAAGAAAGUGCGUGAGAGUAACUGUUCACGUUUCGACGGUAUCUAACCAGAAAGCCACGGCUAACUACGUGCCAGCAGCCGCGGUAAUACGUAGGUGGCAAGCGUUAUCCGGAUUUAUUGGGCGUAAAGGGAACGCAGGCGGUCUUUUAAGUCUGAUGUGAAAGCCUUCGGCUUAACCGGAGUAGUGCAUUGGAAACUGGGAGACUUGAGUGCA
rnacentral:rRNA from 2 species